UUGCACAUUAGCACAUGUUCUGUGAAACAUCACCCCGCUUUCCCAAAAUAGCGGCUCUAAUGAGUUUCAUGGUUGCUGUAACAGGGCACAGGAGCUGGGAAAAGCAAUAUGGCUCACCAGGAGAUACCAAUCAUUGGGACAACAGAAACUUUCAAGGCCUAAAGAUAAAUUUCUCUGGCAAGGUGGAUCACAUGGCUUCUGUGGAAGUAUGAAAAGCAGUCAACAUGCCGUAAUCUCAACCUCUAACACAUGAUUAGAUGGAUACUGAUCUUCUAUUCUGUCCUGGUUUAGGACAAAUCUAGGAGAAAACCAGUCACCCCAGGACAUUUUCAAAACAUCAGUAUUUUACCACAUGAUAAGAAACACACUCACAUAACCAGAGAGAAAAGUGGAAUGACAAAAAUGUGACCUUGGUCCAUGACCAGGGCAAAGGCACAUGGCCAUAGCCUGUAAUGCAACUGAGAGAUCCUGAUAAUUGCAGCUACAGCAGAAACAUCCCAAGCACACAGCUCUAAACCCAAGAGCCUUUAUACCAAAGAGUCCAACAUACUGCCAUCAUAGAAGGAAAGAGUUCUUCACAUGUGAUAAUUAUACAAGAAGAAGUGUCCCAUCAAAAUACCCAGGCAGUCUCCAAAUCACUCCCUGCCUACAGCUGCAGGCCCUUUGAAGCAGCAGAUUGCUGGCCUUGAGCUGGAUGAAUUGAUUAUACAGCCUAACUUGGAUAUGACUGGCAAGACUUUAAAUUGGACAAACCUACCACAGAAGGACAAAAGUAUUGCCUGUACUAGGUAAUUUUUAAGCUCUCCCCACCACCCAAAGAAGCUCAGCAAGGUGAACUGCUGUGUUCCCAUCAAUUUCUCCCUACAAGAUCUAUUUCCAAGGAGACAGGAGCUAGGCCUAGUUACUAUAAUGGAGUCCCAGCUCUUAAGAUCUUGCCCUCUUUCUGCAUUGGGUGCACAUUUACCUUGGUAUGCAUUUGCUCAGCCUCUCACUAUCACACAUACAAUUAAAUUCAGCUUCUAAAAGUUCUACCUGUAAUUGGAACCAGCUGCAACCUUUCUGACACAUACUAAUUGCCAGUAAUGAUUUAAGUGCAGUCAAUUCACAUGCUGCAAUUGUUUUAAAUAAAGGAAUCUCUCUUACCUUUUCCCUGAGAAAA
rnacentral:lncRNA from 1 species